CCUUGUUCCUUAAAUGUCUUCAAUCAAUGUUCUCGAAAUGUUGGAACCGUUGUUCCUUAAUUGAUUGACAGCCUUGUUCCUUAAAUGUCUUCAAUCAAUGUUCUCGAAAUGUUGGAACCGUUGUUCCUUAAUCAGUUUAUACUGUUGUUCCUGAUAUAUAUGUCAAUAUCAAUUUGUUAGUGCCGAUAUAAAAUAUUUAUUUCAUUUUAAAGGUAUAUCAUUUUUGAAAUAAAAUUAAUAAAGGAGAUAACGAUAGAAAAAUUUAAAGUACUGCACUACUAAUAUUAUAGGGGAGAAAAUGAAAGUUGUUGGUAUCCCAACAUCGAUAUUAUACUCCUACCUGACUAAUCAGGGGAAAAUACAAGGGAUCACAGUUGUCAAGGAGAGAUGGCCAAAUGUCCAGACAGGUGUCGUGUGUCUAAGAGUUAGAGUUGGCUAUUUAUAGUUGGGAAAUAACAAGAAUGGAGGGGGGGAGAAAGAGCAAACCCCAAAACCAAACACACACAUAAUCAAAGAUGAGUCUCAACAAUGGUGAACCCGACCGACGUGAACGAAGUGCUCCAAAACUUCGUUGGCCCGCUUGCGGAAGAACUAGGUAAGCUAUCAAUUUUCAAGAAUAGAUUUGAAGAAUCGAUGUCUGUUUCUCCUUGCAGGAACGGAGAAAAACACAAAUCAUCGGAAGAAACACAGGGUGGAAAAUGAUAAAAUAAGGGAAACGAAAUAAACGAUGACGCUUAGGGUUUUAGGCUCACCUCCGUCGACACUCAACAGCCACUCGGCCAGCGUCCAGCCCUCUCAAUCCUCCACUAUGCCGACCGAUCUGACGGUGGUAAAAUUGCUCCAAUGGUGCUAAAAUUGCUUCAAGUUAAAUUAAACUCGUAGGAAUUUAUUUAAUACAUAUAUACAUGCUUUUCUGACCCACUUGCAGCAACUUAUUUAAUAAGCAUGUAUAUUACAGGUUUUUCUAACCACUUGCAGGAAUUUAUUUGAUAAGUGUGUAUAUCAAACCAAUAUACAUGCUUACGCUUGGGCUAGUGAUAGCGGAUCUAGGCAUAAUCAGAAUAGCAAACUAGAGCAAAGCCAUGCUCUUGAAAAAAGAUCUCGAAAGAGAAUCGCGCAAUACAGGAACAACCAAGAAUACCUAAAAAAAGAAUGGAGAAAAAUGGAGUAAAGGUGAAUAUAGGGAAGACAAGGGAUGACAAAGGAAUGAAAAUUAUCUGCAGGAAAAAUAAAAACUACAGGAAUAGGUUAAAUAUUUGACGUCAGGUGAAUCAAGCAGAGAACAAAAAAAGAUCAGACCAAGCCCCAAAGGGCAAAAGAAGCAAACAAAACUAGAAAGAAAGGAGGAAGAAAUUCCAAGUAUAAAGGUCGUCAAGAUCUAUGGUGUCACAUGUUUAUCAGAAACAGAAACCAUGAAUUUUGCGAUGAAACACUUCUAAGCAUGUCAAGAAAAAUAGAAACUUCUUGAGCACGUUUUUGGACAAUGGUCUGAAGGUCUUUUGCGUGCCCAAAAUAAAAGAACAAGAAAAAAUUCCACACGUAAAAAUAUAUAUACAGAUGGUUGAUGAUAUACAUACCAUGUGAACAAGAAAAUGUAAAGCGUUGAAGCUGAUUCUCGACCAAGACUUCGAUUGCCUCUUUGCUGCAAUUAUUGGACAAUGCUAAUGACCUGUCGAAUCUAUUACGCGAUUCUAUCUUACUUUGAUUCUUCAUAAGAAAAUCGAUUUUUCAAAAUCCAAAACAGAAGCGAUGAUAUUUGCGUCUUGGCGAGGAAGAAAGAAGAAGAAACAUAUCUGAACUUAGAUGAUGGUGAUUGGCGAUUUGGCGAUCGAACCGAUCCUGCUUUGCUGAAAUCACACUCAACUUGUCUGGUUUUAAUAGAAAAUACACGGUAAUCCAUCUCUAUUUUUCUUUUUCUUUUUCUUUUUCUUUUCCUUUUCCUUUUUCCUUUUUUUUUUUUUUUUUUUUUUUUUUUUUUUUUGUCAAGCAUAUACCAAGCCCGGGGAAGUUAGCAACGAGCCCAAUGGAUUAAAGACAACGACAAUUAGGGAGAAGGCUCAAAGAAGUAGCAAAAAGACUCCAAGCUAAAUCCAUAAAAAAAGGAUCCAACAACUAUGAAAAGUCAAAAGCGAGGAGUUGACAAAGAACAUGACACGAGAUGUCAAAACCACGACACGAGACGUCGCCGGAGCAGCAGGUACAUCAGGACGGGAGGGCAGCCAGCCAGUCAGCAAACGAUCGAGCAUUUGGACUGCGGCGAACAUUGUGACAACGACCAACAUAAAAAAAAUGACCCAGCAACGGUGUCUGCAAAAGUAGGCACAUUCCCUCCCCCAACAACAUAACUAACGAGAGGAGAUGGAGAGGUAAUAUACACAAACCACUCCUUUUUCAAUUGAGCUAAGCGAAGGCGGAUGUCCACGAGCAACUUACGAGUCCGUUCAGAGAGAUACUGCAAAUGUGAAAAGAGAGAAUCAUCAUUGGUCACGAUUUAAAUGUCAGCAAGCGAACUCUGAUGAUAAACCAGUUCGAGUGCAAAUUCCUCGAAUACAGCGAUAGCCAUUGCAAACAGUGACAAGUGGAAAGUAGAGGGUUAGCUAGAAAGGAGGUUCGAGGAAAGGUUGCGAAGGGGUGGGAGUAGUGUUGGUAUCCCAACAUCGAUAUUAUACUCCUACCUGACCAAUAAGGGGAAAACACAAGCGAUCACAGCUGUCAAGGAGAGAUGGCCAAAUGUCCAGAUAGGUGUCGUGUGUCUAAGAGUUAGAGUUGGCUAUUUAUAGUUGGGAAAUAACAAGAAUGGAGGGGGGGGAGAAAGAGCAAACCCAAAAACACACAUAAUCAAAGAUGAGUCUUGUUACGGCUGAAGCAGCAAGAGGGAUAGAAAGGGACCUGUUCAAAAUCGCGGAUUUAAUGCCAGCUGCAACAGAGGAACCAUUCAUUGAAGCGUAGGGGGAGGAAUCGAUUCAAGGCGCAGAACCAGCAGGAAGGAGGGAGAGAUCUAAGCGGAUCAAGAAAGCCCCUAUCUGGGCCUCCAAUUAUGAAAGGUAAGUUUGGGCUAUUUUCGUUGUAUUAGUCAAUGGACUGAGUAAGUAGAUUACCGUUUAAGUUUUUAAUUAAGCACCUUAUGUAAUCUCCUAUAAAAGGCCCCAGUUGUAAUUUUCCAAUUAAUGGAAGAAAACUUAUUUUUUCCCUAAACAUUCCACCUUCUACAUCCAGGUGAAUUCAUUUCCGAUAAUAGCUUUUUGUCUCUCAAAUCUAGAUCGAACUCCGAUCGUAGAUAGGAGACACCUCUUGUAAUUCAGGUCUAUCUAGCCCUCUUUCGGAGUGAAUCUUUCUUGAUCGGUUUCAACCGUAUCAAGUCUCAACAAAAGUACUACAACAUGAACGUGCAGAUGACGAAAAAAUUGAAGCAGAUGACGAAAUACAAAAAUUUCAAAAACGGAAGACAAAAUACAAAAUCAUGUAACCAUUAAGAACAAAUAAUCU
rnacentral:lncRNA from 1 species